ensembl:snRNA U6 U6 spliceosomal RNA
UCACUUCAGCAGCACAUUUACUAAAACUGGAACGACAGAGUGACUCCUGCACAAGGAUGACAUGCAAAUUCGUGAAGCAUUCUAUAUUUUA